rnacentral:lncRNA from 1 species
AGUAUCAUAACUUUACCGAUAAUCUACAAUACUUAUAGCACUGGAACAGCAAAAGCAGUGAAAAGAAGAUCAGCGCAGGGAGUGAUCGAACAGAGGGAUGACAAUCGGCUAAACCUGAAGGGAGAUAGUUCUCAGUCAAAAGGAAAACAAAAUAAUAAAAGGUAAAAAUAAAAAUAGAAAGGAAGAGAAGAAUAUUCAGUCAAAGAAAAAGAGGAGGAGAGGAAAGAGAUUUGGCCAAGAGAAAGAUGGAAAGAGAAAAGAAAAAAGG